AAUGAGAUAUUUGCGUACGAUUUGGAUUUUAGGAGUUAAAUUUAGGAGUUCUGCUAGCUUCACACAAUUUUUAACUUCUCAUAUUUGAUGAGUUCAGAUUUGAGAAGAAAUUUGUGAUAUGAUAUUUUGAGGAUUCGAUUCGAUAUGCCCAAACGAUUUCAAAUAGGCACAACGCAAGAAAGAUGGGUGAAAUGUUCUUUUUUUGUGUGUUCGACAAAUGUAGCACCCCUCCCGAUCUCUCUCCCAUUUCAUUUCGUUUCAUUAGCAUGCUAAGUGGCCGAAAUAAAUCACCCGAAUACGUCGGGCACUUAUAAAUCAAGAUGGAUGAAGUAAAAUGGAACGGUUGCAUAGGGGACACACUGAAAUGCGCCACGGGCAAAGAAUAGAGUGAGGAGGACUUGAUGUGGAGGCUUAUCUCUAAGACUAAUUAGUAGAGGUAGUGGACUGUUGGGGAUAUGACUGAUAACUUCAUAUGUAUGGUGUGAUCUAGCUGCCGCUAAUUAGCUUCAUCACUAUGGCGUGGUCUACUGUUUCAUGUCAAUGUGUACAUGUAUGCAUAAUUCUCAUGACAUUCCUCCUAUUAUAAAAGCUCCAUUACAUUACACUUUCAAGGAAGCUAUCAUGUCUGCACCUAUGAUGAGAUGAGUACGUAGUACUGAGCACAGAGUUAAAAGUGUCACCCACAUAAUUUAGGUAUUAGAUGAGAUAUUAGAAGAAACUGAAGGUACAAGUUUAGAACCAGUUGAGUCCGAAGUGUGUGAUAAAUUUCAAUUUGGGUGGUGGCAAUGUAGUCAUACUGGACAAAUGCAGUUUAGAGUCGUCUUCUCCCACGGUUUGACUGGCUCCCACCUCGACGGCCUUCGCGCACCGCCGGCUAAUGGCAUGUCUUGCUGCCACCUCGCUCAUGCGGCGCCGGCGCAGACUCCACAAGUAUAUUGUUUCUGUUGGAGUUAACCACGGCGUCCGAGUCGUGUUGAACCAAAACAGUUACCUAGCAUAAGAUUUGUAAUUGGACUAGGACUAGUUUACAACUACCUUAGAUAUAUCGAUAUAUCCCUGCAUUAUAAAUUGUAAUAGUACCAAAAUUGAGAGAAAAGCAAUACAAACAUCAGGACCGAUACGGUCCUGUGGCCAUAGCUCGGCGUGUCUUGUGUUCUCAUGAAUUGGAGCGACAGGCUUCCGGCGAGAUUGUCUGCAAGCUUAAGGCUAAUUAGCUAGCUAUCACGUUUGUCAGUUUCUAGCUAGAUCAAUCCGGUACUUUGGCUAGCUUGCCGUCAGUGUAUACCAAGGGAAGAACUCGUCGGUUGAUCGUACCAAGUCGCUCGUCGUCUUUGUCGACGUCGGUCGUGAUGUGUCGUCGGAAAGUACUCGACGUACGGGUCUGGGUCAACAAUUGGUAUCUAGAUCAAGGUUGAUCUUCUACUAACGGGAGAUCAUGUCGGACAACGAGAAGGACAAGCAGUUGGCGGAGUACACCGGUGCAGCUAAAGUAUUCGCUGCUCCGGCGAGUUCGUCGUACCCACGAUUUGACCGUGAGAACUUCGGGGUCUGGAAGGCCCUGAUGGAGUGUGGUCUCCGCGCCAACGUGUUGUGGGAUGCAGUCGAUUCAGAAGGCGACACUUUCAAGAAGGAGGGAGCUGAGCAUCGGAAGGAUCGGCAGGCGUCGUCGGCGAUUUAUUCGGUGAUGCCGAUGGAUGUCCUUCGACACGUGAUCGUCAAAGAAACGGCGAAGGAGGUGUGGGAUACCUUGAAGCUCGUGUUUGAGGGACACACCCGCGUCAAGCAAGCCAAUCUCCAAACUCUCUUAAGGAACUACGAGACUUUCGUCAUGGGCGACAAUGAGUCCGUGGACGCGUUCUCUUCACGGGUUGCUACUCUUGUCAACCGGAUCCGCGCACUUGGAGAAAACCUCACAGAGGCCUCGGUAGUCCAUCGGUUCUUGCGCGCAGCUCCUCCCCGGUACCUGCAAAUUGUCACGACGAUCGAGCAGUGCGUCGAUCUCGCGACCCUGUCCAUUGAUGAUCUCGUCGGAUGCUAC
rnacentral:lncRNA from 1 species